UACGUAGGGCGCGAGCGUUGUCCGGAUUUAUUGGGCGUAAAGAGCUCGUAGGCGGCUCGUUGCGUCGGCUGUGAAAACCCGCGGCUCAACUGUGGGCUUGCAGCUGAUACGGGCGGGCUGGAGUUCGGUAGGGGAGACUGGAAUUCCUGGUGUAGCGGUGAAAUGCGCAGAUAUCAGGAGGAACACCGGUGGCGAAGGCGGGUCUCUGGGCCGAUACUGACGCUGAGGAGCGAAAGCGUGGGGAGCGAACAGG
rnacentral:rRNA from 1 species